rnacentral:rRNA from 1 species
UACAGAGGGGGCAAGCGUUGUUCGGAAUUACUGGGCGUAAAGGGCGCGUAGGCGGCCUUCUAAGUCGAACGUGAAAUCCCCGGGCUCAACCCGGGAACUGCGUCCGAUACUGGAAGGCUUGAAUCCGGGAGAGGGGUGCGGAAUUCCAGGUGUAGCGGUGAAAUGCGUAGAUAUCUGGAGGAACACCGGUGGCGGAGGCGGCAUCCUGGACCGGUAUUGACGCUGAGGCGCGAAAGCCAGGGGAGCAAACGGG